UCCUACGGGAGGCAGCAGUGGGGAAUAUUGGACAAUGGGCGCAAGCCUGAUCCAGCCAUGCCGCGUGAGUGAUGAAGGCCCUAGGGUUGUAAAGCUCUUUCAGCGAGGAGGAUAAUGACGUUACUCGCAGAAGAAGCCCCGGCUAAUUUCGUGCCAGCAGCCGCGGUAAUACAAAGGGGGCUAGCGUUGUUCGAAAUCACUGGGCGUAAAGCGCACGUAGGCGGACUUUUAAAUCGGGGGUGAAACCCCGGGGCUCACCCCCGGAACUGCUUUUGAUACUGAAAGUUUUGAAUCCAAAAAAGGUGAGUGGAACUCCCAUUGUAAAGGUGAAAUUUCAUAAAUUUCCGAAAAAACACCCGUGGGCGAAGGCGGCUCAUUGGCUCCGUAUUGAACCUAAAAGUGCGAAAAACC
rnacentral:rRNA from 1 species